GGGCCGUUAGCUUAGUUGGUAGAGCACCACAUUUGCAAUGUGGAGGUCAGCGGUUCGAUCCCGCUACGGUCCACCA
rnacentral:tRNA from 1 species